CCAGACUCCUACGGGAGGCAGCAGUGGGGAAUAUUGCACAAUGGGGGAAACCCUGAUGCAGCAACGCCGCGUGAGUGAAGAAGUAUUUCGGUAUGUAAAGCUCUAUCAGCAGGGAAGAAAAUGACGGUACCUGACUAAGAAGCCCCGGCUAACUACGUGCCAGCAGCCGCGGUAAUACGUAGGGGGCAAGCGUUAUCCGGAUUUACUGGGUGUAAAGGGAACGUAGACGGCAUGGCAAGUCAGAUGUGAAAGCCCGUGGCUCAACCCCGGGACUGCAUUUGGAACUGUAAGGCUAGAGUGUCGGAGAGGCAGGCGGAAUUCCUAGUGUAGCGGUGAAAUGCGUAGAUAUUAGGAGGAACACCAGUGGCGAAGGCGGCCUGCUGGACGAUGACUGACGUUGAGGCUCGAAAGCGUGGGGAGCAAACAGGAUUAGAUACCCUAGUAA
rnacentral:rRNA from 1 species